ACCACUAAUAUUUUCUUUUCCCUACCACUAAUCUUUUUCCCUACCACCACUAAUUUGUUUUCAUACCACUACGCUUUGUAAAAAAAAAAAUAGCUUUUAGUCAUGCCCUUAUAUCCUUACUUCUCUCUGCACAACCAAAGUUGGAAUUCAUAGAAGCCUUUAAGCUCCAAGAGUAGUAUCAAAGUAAGGGAGAGCGUGGGAAACCUAGGGCGUAAAGUUAGAGUGAAGAUUGUGCUUCGAGGGCUUUGAGCAUCAGGAGGACUAGCACUGCUAUUCCGAUUCAGAGAUAAGGUUAAACGACAGGCUUUGCCUAUACAGGUUAAUUGGUCGGUGCUGACGGGGCAGAGCUGAGGCUAGGGUUCAACUCCGUAUUUUGUCUUCCGCUGUUGCACUAGCUUUUAUUUGUCUUUUGUUUCUCUAACUUAAGACUUUUAUGUUAAAUUCUGAAUUAUGUUUUAUCGAGCUUAAACUCUCAACUUCUAGCUCUAUGUUAUUUAACGUUGGUUAUCGGAAACAUGAAACUGAACUUAUGAUCCUAAGGCUUAGAAUGUUGUUGAUUGAUUAGUAUCACCUGAUUUUUGUCUUUCUUCACUCAAAGGGUGAUCCCCGAUUUUUAUCCUAUUAUUUGAAUCCCACAAGGUUCUUUCCUUGUUUAUUUCUAUGAUUUAGUCGCAC